rnacentral:rRNA from 1 species
GCAUAUCAAUAAGCGGAGGAAAAGAAACCAACAGGGAUUGCCCCAGUAACGGCGAGUGAAGCGGCAACAGCUCAAAUUUGAAAUCUGGCCUUCGGGUCCGAGUUGUAAUUUGGAGAGGAUGCUUCUGGCGCGGCGCCGUCCGAGUUCCUUGGAACAGGACGCCAUAGAGGGUGAGAGCCCCGUACGGGCGGCCGCCUAGCCUUUGUGAAGCUCCUUCGACGAGUCGAGUAGUUUGGGAAUGCUGCUCAAAAUGGGAGGUAAAUUUCUUCUAAAGCUAAAUACCGGCCAGAGACCGAUAGCGCACAAGUAGAGUGAUCGAAAGAUGAAAAGCACUUUGAAAAGAGGGUUAAAAAGUACGUGAAAUUGUUGAAAGGGAAGCGCCUGUGACCAGACUUGCGGCCCGCGGAUCAUCCGGUGUUCUUCACCGGUGCACUCCGCGGGCUGCAGGCCAGCAUCGGUUUUCCUAGGGGGACAAAGGUCGCGGGAACGUAGCUCUUUCGGGAGUGUUAUAGCCCGUGGCGUCAUGCCUCUGGGGGGACCGAGGACCGCGCUUCGGCAAGGAUGCUGGCGUAAUGGUCACCGGCGACCCGUCUUGAAACACGGACCAAGGAGUCAAGCAUUGGGGCGAGUGUCUGGGUGCCAAACCCGCACGCGAAAUGAAAGUAAACGCAGGUGAGAGCUUCGGCGCAUCACCGACCGAUCCUGAUGUCUUCGGAUGGAUUUGAGUAAGAGCCUUACCGCUUGGACCCGAAAGAUGGUGAACUAUGCCUGUAUAGGGUGAAGCCAGAGGAAACUCUGGUGGAGGCUCGCAGCGGUUCUGACGUGCAAAUCGAUCGUCAAAUAUGGGCAUGGGGGCGAAAGACUAAUCGAACCAUCUAGUAGCUGGUUACCGCC